rnacentral:rRNA from 1 species
UACGUAGGGUGCAAGCGUUGUCCGGAAUUAUUGGGCGUAAAGAGCUCGUAGGCGGUUUGUCGCGUCUGCUGUGAAAACUCGAGGCUCAACCUCGGGCUUGCAGUGGGUACGGGCAGACUAGAGUGCGGUAGGGGAGACUGGAAUUCCUGGUGUAGCGGUGGAAUGCGCAGAUAUCAGGAGGAACACCGAUGGCGAAGGCAGGUCUCUGGGCCGCAACUGACGCUGAGGAAGCGAAAAGCAUGGGGGAGCGAACAGG